rnacentral:rRNA from 1 species
UAAGGCUUUAAUUGAGUGCUAAGUGAAUGGUUAAACAAGGAUUAACUUUCUUUAAAUUUAAAAUAAAAGUUAAUUUAAAAAUGAAAAAGUUUUUAUAUUUUUUUGGGACAAGAAGACCCUAUGAAUUUUUUUUUAUAAUUUUAUUUUAAAUUUAUAAAAAAGAAAAUGAGAUGAAAUUAUAAGUUAAUUGGGGUGAUUUUUAAAGAAUAAUUAUCUUUAAAAGAGGAAGGAAUUAGAACCAAAAUUUUUGGUAGUUUGAUUAAAAUACUCUAGGGAUAACAGCGUUAUUAUUUUGGAUAGUUCAUAUAGAUAAAAUAGUUUGCGACCUCGAUGUUGGAUUAAGAUAC